GGCUGACCCUAGUGUUGCUCAUGCAGCCCUGCAUGCCAUGGCAUGCCAUAUGUCUGCUGUUUCUACAGAUCUGGCUUAAAAAAAUCUAAGCAAAGAUGGUACUUCAUGGACCCAAGAUAUUACCUUAUUCUGCAAACAAGGACUUUAAGCACAAAGAAGGAAAUCAUAGUAGAAGUUUCAACUGUCAACUUCUGCUUAGGAUAUCCUUAAUAAAACCUUCAUGUCGAGAUUUGUGAAACAACUGACGAAAUCACUGGCCUGAAGUUGCAAACAAAGUAUUAAUCAAGGCAGCCCCACUGUGGCUUAAUAAUAUCAAUGACAGACACUUCUUGGCAAUCAAGGAUCCUCUGAUGAUCAUCUAAUCAAACAGCACUGAUUCUAUCACACUAUGGCUUUGGUUGAGCUUAACAGAGAAGAGGAUUCAUCCAUAACCAAACAGGUUCAACAGAACCUUGAAAAUCAAAGGAAAGUGCAAAAGAAAGUGGUUCUAACUUUGAAUUGUGGCAUCAAGGAACAGUAAAUAAAAUAAAUUGAAUAACAACUUCUGCA